GCGAGGCGAGACACGAUGCAAUUUCACGAUGCAACGAGCCAUGCGUCGUAUAUAAACGAACCCUAAAAGACGUAUCCACGGCACAGAAUGGCCUGCGAAGAUAGCGAGCAACAAUAGAAGGCUUCCGUCAAUGAAAUUGCCGGCUACAAAAGAGAGAAGAGAGAGAGAGAGAGAGAGAGAGAAAUAACAAGUUUGACGAAUGGAGGAGCACAAGGCGCGAACGAGUUAUCUGAUGUUGCAACAAGUAAAAUCCGCUAAACCGAUGAAUUGACAAUAGUCGAUACAUUAUUCGAGAAAGCGUUUCAGAUAAAACUUGUUCUGUUUCAAGGG
rnacentral:misc_RNA from 1 species